rnacentral:rRNA from 1 species
AGAGUUUGAUUCUGGCUCAGAACGAACGCUGGCGGCGUGGAUAAGACAUGCAAGUCGAACGAGAGAAUUGCUAGCUUGCUAAUAAUUCUCUAGUGGCGCACGGGUGAGUAACACGUGAGUAACCUGCCCCCGAGAGCGGGAUAGCCCUGGGAAACUGGGAUUAAUACCGCAUAGUAUCGAAAGAUUAAAGCAGCAAUGCGCUUGGGGAUGGGCUCGCGGCCUAUUAGUUAGUUGGUGAGGUAACGGCUCACCAAGGCGAUGACGGGUAGCCGGUCUGAGAGGAUGUCCGGCCACACUGGAACUGAGACACGGUCCAGACACCUACGGGUGGCAGCAGUCGAGAAUCAUUCACAAUGGGGGAAACCCUGAUGGUGUGACGCCGCGUGGGGGAAUGAAGGUCUUCGGAUUGUAAACCCCUGUCAUGUGGGAGCAAAUUAAAAAGAUAGUACCACAAGAGGAAGAGACGGCUAACUCUGUGCCAGCAGCCGCGGUAAUACAGAGGUCUCAAGCGUUGUUCGGAAUCACUGGGCGUAAAGCGUGCGUAGGCUGUUUCGUAAGUCGUGUGUGAAAGGCGCGGGCUCAACCCGCGGACGGCACAUGAUACUGCGAGACUAGAGUAAUGGAGGGGGAACCGGAAUUCUCGGUGUAGCAGUGAAAUGCGUAGAUAUCGAGAGGAACACUCGUGGCGAAGGCGGGUUCCUGGACAUUAACUGACGCUGAGGCACGAAGGCCAGGGGAGCGAAAGGGAUUAGAUACCCCUGUAGUCCUGGCAGUAAACGGUGCACGCUUGGUGUGCGGGGAAUCGACCCCCUGCGUGCCGGAGCUAACGCGUUAAGCGUGCCGCCUGGGGAGUACGGUCGCAAGAUUAAAACUCAAAGAAAUUGACGGGGACCCGCACAAGCGGUGGAGUAUGUGGUUUAAUUCGAUGCAACGCGAAGAACCUUACCUGGGCUUGACAUGUAAUGAACAACAUGUGAAAGCAUGCGACUCUUCGGAGGCGUUACACAGGUGCUGCAUGGCCGUCGUCAGCUCGUGUCGUGAGAUGUUUGGUUAAGUCCAGCAACGAGCGCAACCCCUGUUGCCAGUUACCAGCACGUGAAGGUGGGGACUCUGGCGAGACUGCCCAGAUCAACUGGGAGGAAGGUGGGGACGACGUCAGGUCAGUAUGGCCCUUAUGCCCAGGGCUGCACACGUACUACAAUGCCCAGUACAGAGGGGGCCGAAGCCGCGAGGCGGAGGAAAUCCUGAAAACUGGGCCCAGUUCGGACUGUAGGCUGCAACCCGCCUACACGAAGCCGGAAUCGCUAGUAAUGGCGCAUCAGCUACGGCGCCGUGAAUACGUUCCCGGGUCUUGUACACACCGCCCGUCACAUCAUGGAAGCCGGUCGCACCCGAAGUAUCUGAAGCCAACCGCAAGGAGGCAGGGUCCUAA